rnacentral:rRNA from 1 species
AAGAAAGCAAAAGGGCAUUCGGUGGAUGCCUUGGCUCUGGUAGGCGAAGAAGGACGCGAUAAGCUGCGAAAAGCCGCGGGGAGGUGCAAAUGACCAUUGAUCCGCGGGUCUCCGAAUGGGGCAACCCAGCACGUUAGGUGUUAUACUGCAAGGCAGUAGGCGAACGCAGGGAACUGAAACAUCUCAAUACCUGCAGGAAGAGAAAACAAAAGUGAUUCCGCGAGUAGUGGCGAGCGAAAGCGGAUUAGCCCAAACCGUCGGCGUUCAGGCGCCGCCGGGGUAGUAGGGCCGCGACACGAGUGUGACAAAAGAACUGGAAGCGUCUGGAAAGUCGCUCCGAAGAGGGUGAGAGGCCCGUACAGGCAAAGUUGUCACAUUCCAGCGGUACCCUGAGUAGCGCGGAGCACGUGGAAUUCCGUGUGAACCAGCCGGGACCAUCCGGUAAGGCUAAAUACUCACCAGAGACCGAUAGCGAACGAGUACCGUGAGGGAAAGGUGAAAAGAACCCCGAACAGGGGAGUGAAAAAGAACCUGAAACCGAGUGCCUACAAGCGGUCGGAGCCUCUUAGGAGGUGACGGCGUGCCUUUUGCAUAAUGAACCUACGAGUUAUCUUCUCCGGCGAGGUUAAGCGUCUAAGGCGCGGAGCCGAAGCGAAAGCGAGUCUGAAGAGGGCGCGUUAGUCGGAGGGGAUAGACGCGAAACCAAGUGAUCUACCCUUGACCAGGCUGAAGUUUGGGUAACACCAAAUGGAGGGCCGAACUGAUAAGCGUUGAAAAGCUUCCGGAUGAGUUGAGGGUAGGGGUGAAAGGCUAAUCAAACUUGGAGAUAGCUCGUACUCCCCGAAAUGCAUUUAGGUGCAGCCUCGUAUGUUUCUUGCGUGAGGUAGAGCGACUGAUUGGAUGCGAGGGCUUCACCGCCUAUCAAGUCCUGAUAAACUCCGAAUGCGCGCAAGUUAAGUACGGGAGUGAGGGCGCGGGUGCUAAGGUCCGUGUCCGAGAGGAGAACAAUCCAGACCAGCAGCUAAGGUCCCGAAAUGUGUGUUAAGUUGAACUAACGAAGUCGAACUGCAUAGACAGCUAGGAUGUUGGCUUGGAAGCAGCCAUUCAUUUAAAGAGUGCGUAACAGCUCACUAGUCGAGCGGUUUGGCGUGGAUAAUAAUCGGGCAUAAACACACUACCGAAGCUCUGGAAUAUAUAAUAUUGGUAGGGGAGCAUUCCAUGUGCGUUGAAUGUGCGGCGGCGAGCCGUGCUGGAGCGCAUGGAAAAGCAAAUGUAGGUAUAAGUAACGAUAAGGAGGGCGAGAAACCCUCCCGCCGAAAGACUAAGGGUUCCUGAUCAACGCUAAUCGGAUCAGGGUUAGUCGGGUCCUAAGACUAAGCCGAACGGCGAGGCCGAUGGAAGAGCGGGUUAAUAUUCCCGCACCGGUGCUGGAGCGAAGUGGGGACGGAGGAGUGAAAGUCCUGCCGGCUGACGGAAUAGCCGGUUUAAGGGUGUAGGAGUUGAUCGAGGCAGGCAAAUCCACCUUGAGAUCCGAACCUGAAAGUACGGAGAGCCCACGCGGCAAUCCGAUAUGGACGUAAUCAUACUCCCAAGAAAAUCCGCUAAGCAUAUCCAGUCACCGCCCGUACCACAAACCGACACAGGUGGUCGAGUAUAGAGUACAUAGGCGAUCGAGUGAUUCACGGUUAAGGAACUAGGCAAAUUAGACCCGUAACUUCGGGAAAAGGGUCCCCUACUCCGCGAGGAGAGGGCGCAGAGCAAAGGUCCAGGCGACUGUUUAACAAAAACAUAGGGCUAUGCGAAAUCGAAAGAUGAAGUAUAUGGCCUGACACCUGCCCGGUGCUGGAAGGUUAAGAGGAGAGGUCAGCGCAAGCGAAGCCUUGAAUUGAAGCCCCAGUAAACGGCGGCCGUAACUAUAACGGUCCUAAGGUAGCGAAAUUCCUUGUCGGGUAAGUUCCGACCUGCACGAAUGGUGUAACGUGAAAUUGUAGUAUCGGUGAAGAUGCCGAUUACCCGCAACGGGACGAAAAGACCCCGUGAACCUUUACUGCAGCUUUGCAUUGCGUUUGGGCAACCGAUGUGUAGGAUAGGCCGGAGGCUAUGAAGCGGGCACGCCAGUGUUCGUGGAGCCGACGUUGAAAUACGGCCCUUCGGUUGUUUGAGCGCUAACCCGCAGGAGCGGGGACAUUGCAUGGUGGGUAGUUUGACUGGGGUGGUCGCCUCCAAAAGCGUAACGGAGGCUUCCAAAGGUACCCUCAGGCCGAUUGGUAACCGGCCGCAGAGUGUAAUGGCACAAGGGUGCUUGACUGCGAGGCUGACAAGCCGAACAGGUGCGAAAGCAGGGCAUAGUGAUCCGGUGGUUCCGAAUGGAAGGGCCAUCGCUCAAAGGAUAAAAGGUACUCCGGGGAUAACAGGCUGAUCGCCCCCAAGAGCUCAUAUCGACGGGGCGGUUUGGCACCUCGAUGUCGGCUCGUCACAUCCUGGGGCUGGAGAAGGUUCCAAGGGUUGGGCUGUUCGCCCAUUAAAGUGGCACGCGAGCUGGGUUCAGAACGUCGUGAGACAGUUCGGUCUCUAUCUGUUGUGGGCGUUGAGAUUUGAGGGGAUCCGACACUAGUACGAGAGGACCGUGUUGGACGUACCGCUGGUAUGCCGGUUGUUUCGCCAGGAGCACUGCCGGGUAGCUAAGUACGGGUAGGAUAAGUGCUGAAAGCAUCUAAGCACGAAGCCAACCCCAAGAUAAGAUCUCGUUUGAGGGCCGUCGAAGACGACGACGUUGAUAGGCCGCAGGUGUAAAGUCAGAGAUGGCAAAGCCGAGCGGUACUAAUAGCCCGAGCUUUCUUUUG